rnacentral:rRNA from 1 species
UACAGAGGGUGCAAGCGUUAACCGGAAUUACUGGGCGUAAAGGGCUCGUAGGUGGCCAACUAAGUCAGACGUGAAAUCCCUCGGCUUAACCGGGGAACUGCGUCUGAUACUGGAUGGCUUGAGUUCGGGAGAGGGAUGCGGAAUUCCAGGUGUAGCGGUGAAAUGCGUAGAUAUCUGGAGGAACACCGGUGGCGAAGGCGGCAUCCUGGACCGACACUGACACUGAGGAGCGAAAGCCAGGGGAGCAAACGGG